ACCCGGGGGAUUUGCCUUAUUACGGCGAGUGAGCGGCAAAAGCUCAAAUUUGAAAUCUGGUACCUUCGGUGCCCGAGUUGUAAUUUGGAGAGGGCAACUUUGGGGCCGUUCCUUGUCUAUGUUCCUUGGAACAGGACGUCAUAGAGGGUGAGAAUCCCGUGUGGCGAGGAGUGCGGUUCUUUGUAAAGUGCCUUCGAAGAGUCGAGUUGUUUGGGAAUGCAGCUCUAAGUGGGUGGUAAAUUCCAUCUAAAGCUAAAUAUUGGCGAGAGACCGAUAGCGAACAAGUACAGUGAUGGAAAGAUGAAAAGAACUUUGAAAAGAGAGUGAAAAAGUACGUGAAAUUGUUGAAAGGGAAGGGCAUUUGAUCAGACAUGGUGUUUUGUGCCCUCUGCUCCUUGUGGGUAGGGGAAUCUCGCAUUUCACUGGGCCAGCAUCAGUUUUGGUGGCAGGAUAAAUCCAUAGGAAUGUAGCUUGCCUCGGUAAGUAUUAUAGCCUGUGGGAAUACUGCCAGCUGGGACUGAGGACUGCGACGUAAGUCAAGGAUGCUGGCAUAAUGGUUAUAUGCCGCCCGUCUUGAACAACCGAAACCAA
rnacentral:rRNA from 1 species